UACGGAGGGUGCAAGCGUUAUCCGGAUUCACUGGGUUUAAAGGGUGCGUAGGAGGGCAGGUAAGUCCGUGGUGAAAUCCUAGAGCUUAACUCUAGAACUGCCGUGGAUACUAGCUGUCUUGAAUGCCGUGGAGAUGAGCGGAAUAUGUCAUGUAGCGGUGAAAUGCUUAGAUAUGACAUAGAACACCAAUUGCGAAGGCAGCUCGUUACACGAACAUUGACUCUGAGGCACGAAAGCGUGGGGAUCAAACAGG
rnacentral:rRNA from 1 species